rnacentral:rRNA from 1 species
UAACAGGAUUAGAUAGCAUGGUAGUCCACGCCGUAAACGAUGAGUGGUAGGUGUUGGGUGGUUUAGCAUUCAGUGGCGCAGGUAACGCAUUAAGCAUUCAGCAUGGGGAGUACGGUCGCAAGAUUAAGAAUCAGAGGAAUUGAAGGGGGCCCGCACAAGCGGUGGAGCAUGUGGUGUAAUUCGAUGCAACGCGCAGAACAUUACCAGCCCUUGACAUGUAUAGGACGAUAUCAGAGAUGGUAUUUUCUUUUUGGAGACCUUUACACAGGUGCUGCAUGGAUGUCGUCAGUUCGUGUCUUGAGAUGUUGGGUUAAGUACCGCAACGAGCGCAACCCCUGCCUCUAGUUGCCAUCAAGUUUAGGUUUUUACCUAGAUGUUGGGUACUUUAUAGGGACUGCCGCUGAUAAGCAGGAGGAAGGUGGGGAUGACGUCAAGUCAUCAUGACCCUUAUGGGGUGGGCUACACACGUGCUACAAUAGUGGUUACAAUGGGUUGUGAAGUCGCGAGGCGGAGCUAAUACCCAAAAGCCAUCUCAUUUUGGAUUGCACUCUGCAACUCGAGUGCACGAAGUAGGAAUCGCUAGUAAUCGCGGGUCAGCAUGCCGCGGUGAAUAUGUUCUCUGGCCUUGUACACACCGCCCGUCACACCAUGGGAGUUGGUUUUGCCUGAGGACGGUGUGCUAACCGCAAGGAGGCAGCCGGCCACGGUAGGGUCAGCGAGUGGGGUGAAGUGGUAACAAGGUAUCCAAUA